rnacentral:rRNA from 1 species
UACAGAGGUCUCAACCGUUGUUCGGAUUCAUUGGGCGUAAAGGGUGCGUAGGCGGUCGCGUAAGUCGGAUGUGAAAUCUCAGGGCUCAACCCUGAAACUGCAUUCGAUACUGCGUGGCUAGGGUACUGGAGAGGAGACUGGAAUUUACGGUGUAGCAGUGAAAUGCGUAGAUAUCGUAAGGAAGACCAGUGGCGAAGGCGAGUCUCUGGACAGUUACUGACGCUGAGGCACGAAGGCCAGGGGAGUAAACGGG